UAUUAAAACAUUUCAAAUUACCAAAGCCCCAUUUAAGCUACCCAUCAUCUUACCAGAAUCUCUUUAAUGCACCCAUUGGCUCCUCCACUUACCAGGAGUCAUGCAACAUUGUGGUAGCAGUUACAUGCUAGGAAGGAAAAGGGAGAUAAGAAGAUGGUGAUGGCUCUUCAAGAGGAGCACUCACUCACUAACUGGGAAGACCAUGAGAGGAAAGCCUGAGAGCUCCACCAGGGAUGGACUCAAGACUAGUGAGCAUGUUUCAGGGAUCAUGGAGAGGAAGCAGAGAUCUGUCCUGAGCUGAUAAUGGAAGAGGGCUCACAAAGCCCAUGAAGAGAACGAGAUGCCAACAAAGCCCAUAAGGACAAAGCAGGGAGCCAAGGCUUCUGGGGUAACCACGGGAGGAUCUGUGAGGCUCCAGGUAUUCACGUCCUGAAGAAUUCAAAUCUGUGCUCUACCUGAGGGACCUUUGCAGAUUCUGCAGGAACAGAUGCAGCUGGGGGUUCUAGGCUGUGGGGCAGAAAUGUUUACAUACUUAUUCAUGUAUGUGCAAAAACAUUUACCAAGUGUUGUGAUGAUCCAGGCUGUAUUUCAUGCACAAAGGAUUCAGAAGUGACAAAAACAGACCUGGCUUUCCCUCCUGGACAUACAGUCUCCCAGGGAAAUCAAACCACAUAUAAGCCAGCAAAGACAGAUGCAUGACUGUUCAUGGAUGCUGUGGGCCGUGAUGAAUGGAUGCCAUAUUUAUGACAGAAAGAUGGUAGAGAGAGAUGUCUUUCUUUCUUUUUGAAAAUUUAUUUAGUUUUAUUUUAUGUGCAUUUGUGUUUUGCCUGCAGGUAUGUCUGUGUGAGAGUGUUAGAUCUUGGAGUUACAGACAGCUGUGAGCUGGGUGCUGGGAAUUGAACCUGGGUCUUCUGGAAGAACAUUCAGUGCUGUUAACUGCAGAGCCAUCUCUCUAGCCUCAAGGUGUACUUCAAAAGAGAUGGCACUGCUGAGAGCUAGUACCAGAGCUGUCUGUUACCACCUUGACCACCUGUGCCAAGCUGAGGAGAUGGGUAUCUGAGCUCCCCAAAUGGUGAUAUUCAGGAUAAAG
rnacentral:lncRNA from 1 species